GCCGGCGGCUUUAGCGAUAAGGUCACACCCGUUCCCAUCCCGAACACGGUAGUUAAGGUUGUCAGCGCCCAUGGUACUGCGGGGGCGACCCCGUGGGAGAGUAGGUCGUCGCCGGCG
rnacentral:rRNA from 1 species